rnacentral:snRNA from 11 species
UUCACUUCUUGGCCUUUUGGCUAAGAUCAAGUGUAGUAUCUGUUCUGCCACUGGUGACUUUCUUGGAUCAUUCCCUGUGACCUUGCCAACAUGGGUGACCCUGCCGGGAAUACAUGACUCUCGAUGGCUUCAUCAUGAGUACUGAAUGAGGCAAAGCAUA